rnacentral:tRNA from 1 species
CAGAGAAUAGUUUAGUUAAAAUUUUAGUUUUGGGAAUUAAAGAAAAAUAUUAAUUUUUCUCUGA